UCAGAUUGUUCACCUUGAUGUACCUAGAUCGAGAAUCCCUAACAUGAAGUAGAAUAUUCGAGAAUAAAUAAAAUGUUAUUAACCAUCAUAGUCUCGUAUCAUAUAGCAUAAAAGGUGCAAGUCAGAAAGCAUUGCAAGUUUUAAGUUAUUACAAGUUGAAAAACACAAGAGAAAGAGAAAAUAGUUGGCUGAUUGGGAUUAGCGGGGGCUUUAGGGGCUGGUUUCGCUCUUCAUCACGAUCUUCUUCUUCUUCUUUUUCAAAGCCUUGUGGAGGGAUUGCUUGUGCAUGCUGAGUCAGGUGAAAACAUUAACAUAUAUGAGCUACAAAUCACAAUCAAAAUCAUGAACAUUCACAAAUCGAUAGAGAUAUGGCGGUAAUGAUUAAAGAGAUACCUUGACUGAGACGUGGAGAUAGUUGUCGCCUCAGUCAGCUUGUCCUGUGUUACGAAGUUGUAAGAACCAAUGAAAUAAGUCGACGUAUUUUUUCCAAAGUAGCUUAUAGGAUACGAUCAAUUACAAGAAUUACAAAGGUUUUCAAAAAAUUAUAUACCUCAGUUUCAGAUUCAGGUAAGCAUAGCGUAUCAGAAUGAUCACUUUGAAUCUCCUUGGCCCUCUGCAUUCGAAUCUGCUUCCGCCGUUCCCUUUCAAUCGCAGGGACAUACUUUCUCUCAACGAUACGUGGACCAUGUGUGGGAAGAGUCUUAUUAGAAGCAAAAAGAGAACGACGACGGCGAGUGAGCACCAUUAUUACUGUGGAAAAAGAUCAAAGCCUCCAAAAACAACGGUCAUUAUUAGGUUUAGGUUCAACGGCUCAGCUUUAUGGCCUAAAGUUCAUUAGGCUUUUUUUUUCCCUAUAUUUUCUCUCUAUCUAUUUUGGUGAUUUGGUGUUUUAUGUUAUGUAAUUUUUUUAUUUUUAUUUUAUGUUUUUGAGGGUUUAUUCCGUCGGUUUUGUUUUUCU
rnacentral:lncRNA from 1 species